rnacentral:rRNA from 1 species
GAUGAACGCUGGCGGCGUGCCUAAUACAUGCAAGUCGAGCGAACAGACGAGGAGCUUGCUCCUCUGACGUUAGCGGCGGACGGGUGAGUAACACGUGGAUAACCUACCUCUAAUACUGGGAUAACUUCGGGAAACCGGAGCUAAUACCGGAUAAUAUAUUGAACCGCAUGGUUCAAUAGAGAAAGACGGUUUUGCUGUCACUUAUAGAUGGAUCCGCGCCGCAUUAGCUAGUUGGUAAGGUAACGGCUUACCAAGGCAACGAUGCGUAGCCGACCUGAGAGGGUGAUCGGCCACACUGGAACUGAGACACGGUCCAGACUCCUACGGGAGGCAGCAGUAGGGAAUAUUCCGCAAUGGGCGAAAGCCUGACGGAGCAACGCCGCGUGAGUGAUGAAGGUCUUCGGAACGUAAAACUCUGUUAUUAGGGAAGAACAAAUGUGUAAGUAACUAUGCACGUCUUGACGGUACCUAAUCAGAAAGCCACGGCUAACUACGUG